rnacentral:rRNA from 1 species
UACGGAGGGUGCAAGCGUUGCUCGGAAUUAUUGGGCGUAAAGGGUAGGUAGGUGGUCUCAUUUGUUUGGGGUGAAAUCCUUGGGCUUAACCCAAGAAGUGCCCCAAAAACGGUGAGACUAGAGUCCUGGAGAGGGUCGUGGAAUUCCCGGUGUAGCGGUGAAAUGCGUAGAGAUCGGGAGGAACACCAGAGGCGAAGGCGGCGACCUGGACAGGCACUGACACUCAACUACGAAAGCGUGGGGAGCAAACAGG